CCUACGGGAGGCAGCAGUGGGGAAUAUUGCACAAUGGGGGAAACCCUGAUGCAGCGACGCCGCGUGAGUGAAGAAGUAUUUCGGUAUGUAAAGCCCUAUCAGCAGGGAAGAAAAUGACGGUACCUGAUUAAGAAGCCCCGGCAAACUACGUGCCAGCAGCCGCGGUAAUACGUAGGGGGCAAGCGUUAUCCGGAUUUACUGGGUGUAAAGGGAGUGUAGACGGCAGCACAAGUCUGGAGUGAAAUGCCGGGGCUUAACCCCGGAACUGCUUUGGAAACUGUGCAGCUAGAGUGCAGGAGAGGUAAGUGGAAUUCGUGGUGUAGCGGUGAAAUGCGUAGAUAUUAGGAGGAACACCAGUGGCGAAGGCGGCUUACUGGACUGUAACUGACGUUGAGGCUCGAAAGCGUGGGGAGCGAACAGGAUUAGAUACCCCAGUAGUC
rnacentral:rRNA from 1 species